rnacentral:lncRNA from 1 species
AGCUCCUCUAACAACGCCCAUCUCCGGGGCCAACCGGGUCCCGGGGGAAACUGCGCAUGCGGAACCAGGCCCAGCCCGGAAGAGUUUCCGGCGAGCUUCCCCAAGGCCUGGGACAAGGCCGAGGGGCGGGACCUCUCUGGAACUUCCCAGAUCUGCAAUGUCAGCUCUAGUCAAGGAAGGAGGCCCUUUGGGAAUCAAGGAUGGGGUUUCUUGAGACUAAGAUGGCUCAAAGAUGUCACUUCCAUGCAUAUUGUUCCAGCUGAGAUUACCACUGCCUUCUCUUGGACCUGAGAUCUCUGCCUUAAGAUGCCAUCGCUGUGGGUGCAGAUCCCAGGUAGGUCUGAGCCAGCCCCUCACAAACCUGCUGCCUGUUCAGGCCAUUGGCUGUCAUCCUCUUCCUCUGACCCUGCAGUACGUAUCCUCCAGCUCUGCCUGGUGCAGUCUUCCUGCUCAGGCCUGGCUACUGGACAAGCUCUGCAUCUCUAACCCUUUCCAGACUCCCAAUCACUUCCCAAAUGCCUGGGUUCACCGUCCCCAGACUUACCAUUGGGUCACCUUUUCCCAAAUUCAGACUUUAUAA